UUAGGCAUAAACAAAAUAUCCAAAACGUUUAUUAGAUCUCUAUUACUACAAAUACUAUAUCAAGAUCUUUGUUAUGUUUAGGAUUUGGUCACAUUAUUAGUACGAACGGAAAUUUAGGUCUAGAUCUAGUUAGGCAAGGGAAAUGACUCCUGUUGCAAAAGCUUGUUUAUUAGGGCAUCUCGCGCAAGGUCUAAAAAGUUGUUUGCGGCGAGGUGUUGUGUGUACAAACAAGUAGAUCACUCAGACUGAAACGCUUCCAUGAAUUGUUAAAAGAAAGAAAAGUACCAAAAGUUCUACAAGAGUUUUUACAAACACCGGCACUUUGCCAGGCGCUCCAACAUGUUUGGCAGACUGAUCUUCUUUUUAGUCGGCGUCUAUGCCGGGGUCGUGGCCAAUCAGAGGUACCAGAUCCCUGAGGCGCCUAUGCCUACUGAGCUUUGGGAGAAAGCAAAAGCAAUGGCAGAGCAGUACAAGAAAGAUAACCCUGAUGCAGCAGAGGGUACGUCUCAAGCCCCCCAAGAACUCUCACAAAUUAUGGACAGAUUGAAAGAGUUGGAAAAGACGUACAGAAAAGAUCCCAAGAAGAGUGAAUGAAGAGUGUGAAACAAAAAUCGGAGAGCAGGCCUAUUUAUACAUCACAGCAAUUCUUUCUUGGAAUGUGCUUGUGAUCUGCAAUGUCUCACACUCACUGAACCCUGAUCCCAAACUAUAUCGGGAUGAGGCAUUAGUGGGACCAGAUGUGCUUACUUAAAAAUGUUGUUUUGAUUUUGGACUAAUUUGACUAUUACCUGCAUACUCGAUACAACUUUAUACUGUUUAAGUAGGCCUUUAUAUGGACAGAAAUAUGAACUUUUCUUUCUGAAAACCACUGAAACAAGCACAUUCAAGCAAAAUAAUAUUUAUAUGAGAGGGGUUCAAAAGUCCAAGUGAAAAUAACUGAUGUACACGUUUAAGUUUAAGUCAACCUGACUUCUGGUCUUUUCUGGAACAUGAAGAUCAAGGACAAUUCUCAUUUGAUAAAAAGAUAUAUGAUAUUGAUAUAUUUUGAUUCAUUUGACUGACUUCGUAUACUGUGCCUAUUUUGCCUCAAAAUUUAAAUUUUUAAAAAAUCUCAAUUCUUUGGCCUAUCUUUCUUGAUUAAUUUUUUUUUAUAUUAUAAUUUUCGAGAGAGAGAAAUGACCAUUCAAGGAGGGCAGUCAGCGAGCUCAUAAUACCCAGGGUUCAGUGAGUUGAAUCUAUGGCUUUGGGUUUUUUUUCAUACAAACACAGGGCAGUGUGGAUGAUUAGUAGUAUGGAAGUGAUGUGAAAUAAUGGUAGUUAGUAUUAGUAUGACCACAAACAAAAUGAGGGAGACAUGUUCUUUAGAUCUCCGAUUUUGUGCCUUGUUGUUUGUUCUGUUUAUGUAGAUACCUGUAUUUUUAUCUUCGUUAAUCUAAGAUGGGAUUAUUAUUAUUUGAAGGAUGACAUACACAAAUUUGUACAUUUUCAUUAUGUUCCUAAUGCAGACACUGCCUUUCAGUAUGCUCAUUUCACAAGAUACAUGUACCCGGUAUACAACAAUACACACGAGUGAACGUGGCCCUCUGGAGUUUGAUAGCAUUAGAGUAUUACAUACUAUUAGAGAAUACAAAGUUGCACAAUUUAGAAUUCAAGGUGUACAUUCCACACUUAAGUUAUGCUGUCAAUUUUGAUAAAUUUCUCCUUGCGAAAUGUAUAAAGAUUGUCAAUGUCAUUGUCUUCAUACAGAUGGCAUCUUAAGUCAAGAGCUUUGAUAAGAGUUUUACUGCGCUCGCAACUGCAUAUGGUCAUAUAUAAGAGCGGACUGAUGGAGCCACGACCUGGAUCUGUCUUUUUUUUUUUUUUUUUAAAUUCCAAAUCAUUUGUACCUUCAUAAAAUGAGUUUCUGAUAUCUAUGAUACUUUGUCAUUAGGUCAUUUAUAAGGCAUACUUAUGAGUAUUGUUUUAAAUAUGAUAUCAAGAGGCUGAUAGUUGAUCUGUAUACUGCAAUCCAUCCAACUCAGCCCUUAAAAGUAAACCUAGAAGUAAAUUACUACCCUAAAAUCGCACUUCAAGGGCAAAUUUCUGCAGUCUAAUGGGCUUCUGCUAAGCAUGAAUACUACACAUGUACCCGGUAGAUACUUUCAAAAUAAUAAAUGGCUAUUUCAAAUUGCUGAGA
rnacentral:misc_RNA from 1 species